GGCUGCACUUACAGACCUUUUCUUCCAUCACACAGCCCUGGGUUCCAGGCACUGCUCCUGAACUCUUUUUCAUGAUCUUGAUACUCAGGCUUCACCAUCAGAUAAACACAUUUCUGAAUAACGCUGAGUGCAAGGACUGAAAUAAUGUUGAAAGUGUAGCCAGCAUAUUCAAACACAGGAAGCAGACCAAGGAACUCAUUGCCAUCUCCCAUCAAGACCAAUGACAUAAAAGACUGACAACUAAGUGGAAAGAUUAAGCACUUCUUGUGUCUCCAGAGCAAGAACAGAGAUGCAGUAUCAUGAGGUCUUGGAACUCAGUAUUUUCUGGGUCUUAAUUCUUUAUUCAGAAUAGUAAAUAUUGCUACUCAGUUACCUUAAUUAGCUGGUACACUAACCUCUUACAUAUAUUUUUUAAAUGA
rnacentral:lncRNA from 1 species